AGAAUCAACGCUGGCGGCGUGCCUAACACAUGCAAGUCGAACGAGAAAGUGGAGCAAUCCAUGAGUAAAGUGGCGACCGGGUGAGUAACACGUGACCAAUCUACCCUUGAGUGGGGGAUAACCUCGGGAAACCGGGGCUAAUACCGCAUAAUAUCUUCGGAACGGAAGUACUGAAGAUCAAAGGAGCAAUUCGCUUAAGGAGGAGGUCGCGGCUGAUUAGCUAGUUGGCGGGGUAAUGGCCCACCAAGGCAAAGAUCGGUAGCCGGCCUGAGAGGGCGCGACGGCCGACGACCUGGAACUGAAACACGGUCCAGACUCCUACGGGAGGUAGCAGUGGGGAAUUUUGCGCAAUGGGGGAAACCCUGACGCAGCAACGCCGCGUGGAGGAUGAAGUCCCUUGGGACGUAAACUCCUUUCGACCCGGACGAUAAUGACGGUACGGGUGGAAGGAAGCCCCGGCUAACUUCGUAGCCAGCAGCCGC
rnacentral:rRNA from 1 species